rnacentral:rRNA from 1 species
GACGAACGCUAGCGGCGCGCCUAAGGUAUGCAAGUCGAACGGGGGGAGCAAUCCCCUAGUGGCGAACGGUCGAGUAACACGUAGACAACCUACCGGGGAGUGGGGGAGUAACAGCGGGAAACUGCUGCUAAUACCGCAUGUGGUCAGUAGAGGCCUCUCUACUGCACUAAAGGAGUAAUUCGCUCCCCAAUGGGUCUGCGGCCUAUCAGGUAGUUGGCGGGGUAACGGCCCACCAAGCCGACGACGGGUAGCUGGUCUGAGAGGAUGAUCAGCCGGACGGGGACUGAGACACGGCCCCGACUCCUUCGGGAGGCAGCAAUGAGGAAUCUUGCACAAUGGGGGCAACCCUGAUGCAGCGACGCCGCGUGGGUGAGGAAGUUCUUCGGAAUGUAAAGCCCUUUUUGACCGGGAAGAAUCAAUUGACGGUACCGGUCGAAUAAGCCCCCGGCUAACUACGUGCCAGCCGCCGCGGUAAU